rnacentral:rRNA from 1 species
GACGAACGCUGGCGGCGUGCUUAACACAUGCAAGUCGAACGGUGAAGCGCCUUCCUUUUUGGUGGGUGUGGAUGAGUGGCGAACGGGUGAGUAACACGUGAGUAACCUGCCCCCUUCUUCUGGAUAACCGCAUGAAAGUGUGGCUAAUACGGGAUAUUCUGGGUCUGUCGCAUGAUGGGUCUGGGAAAGAUAUUGUUUCGGUGGGGGAUGGGCUCGCGGCCUAUCAGCUUGUUGGUGGGGUGAUGGCCUACCAAGGCGGUGACGGGUAGCCGGCCUGAGAGGGUGGACGGUCACACUGGGACUGAGACACGGCCCAGACUCCUAGGGGAGGCAGCAGUGGGGAAUAUUGCACAAUGGGCGCAAGCCUGAUGCAGCGACGCCGCGUGAGGGAUGGAGGCCUUCGGGUUGUGAACCUCUUUCGCCAGUGAAGCAGGCCUGCCUCGUUUGUGGGUGGGUUGACGGUAGCUGGAGAAGAAGCGCCGGCUAACUACGCG